UAUGUCGGUUUCUUAACAUAAAAAACAUAUCAAUUUUAUAAUAAUUAAUUAAGACUGAUAUAAGAUAUCAUGGUAUGCGAUGGUUUUCUUUAAUGCAGUUAAUGCAAUGUAACCGUCGUGCAAGAUAUUGUUUAGUAUACUGUAACCUCACUGAUGAACGCUUGGAAUGAUCAUGACAUGAAUGAGACGCUUUCAUAACAAUAGUCCGUUCUGAGCCCAACACAGAGGUGAAUGUAAUGUGACCGUCGUGCAAGAGAUUGCGAUUAGAUAGGGGUCUGCCAACUAUGGAGAAAAAUAGGGAAGAUUCCUUCGGGUACAACCUCUGAUGUGAAGACUGAAGAAUUUUAAUCAGCUGAAGCAAUAACAUUCCUAAGUAUCCCCAAACUUCACAGCAAUGAGGGUCUGAAGGUGGUUACACAAUCGGAUGUAACAACUAUUGAAGACGUACUUCCUAACCACGAUUCUCAGACACUGAAGGCCUGUCUUCUGUUCUGUUCGGAUCCAGGUUUUCUCAGCAAGUCGUUGGUUUCAAAUCUGGUAGACAAGCACUCAGUUCUGGUAGCUGGUGCAUUUGUUGCUGGCCUUUAUUCACAAUCGCGACGGAAUGAACAACAGGACUUCAUAACGUGCAUGUCAUUGUCGUUAUAUGCGAACCAAGUGGAAAUGGCCUCUGUCAUCUUACCACAGCCGAAAAACUGGAGAAGUGAACACUGUGAAAUGACAAAAGCAGAUAUUGAAAAGAGCAUUACCACUCUUAAAGAAAUGAAUCUGCCUGACAAAAACAGUUUUGCACUGAUGAUUGCUUGUGUAGGAAGGGGGGAGGAUUUGUAAGAAGAACCAAAUGUGGAGUAUUCGUUGUUUCGGAAACAUUUUCCAAUAACGCCCCUGUUUGGGCUGUUUGGGGAUGGUAAAAUUGGGUGCAACUUUCAUGAAGGUGUUUUGAAUAAACCUAGCACAGAAGAAAAAAAGAGAAA